ACGGGACACCUGCAUCUGCCAACAAGACUGGAAGCAGAAAGGGACAGAGACGGCGAAGUUUGACGGUCUGGAAAGCAGAGACCAGCAGGGCUGACUGCUUGGGAGCACCAAAUAUCCGGACAGCGCCUCUCGGGAGGUCCGAGAAGAGAACCGCGAUCUGUUUCAGCACCGGGGCUCAGGACAGUUCCCAGCGGGCUCCGUUUCGUCUCCAGAACCCUGGACAGCUCCUCCAGACUUCGGUGAGAAACCUUGUGCCAAGCAUUUUACAUACAUCAUAUCAUGCCAUCUUCAACCCUAGGACAUGGGUGUUACUGUGCCCAUGUGACAUUUGGGGAACCCAAGGCCCUGAGAAAGGCAGAAAAAUAACCCACGCAGGGACUCUCAGCCCACAAGUGAAGCUAACCGGGAAUGGAAAACAGGGAGGCAGCACAGAGGCAGGAAACUCAGGUGUCAUAGCUUGGCUCAGCUUGGAAUGCACUCCCUCCACCUCCAACCAGAGCUCCCCACAACUGACCCUGCCUUCUUCUGCAAGCUCCAUUUCAUCAAGGGAAACGAUCCUUAUUGCCUCACCAUUUCCCACGUGAAGUCUGUAUUGACAUUCUCAUAGACCUGGGAUAUUGUGUCUGCAGCACAUAGUCCAAUUAUUUUCAUGUUAUCUACUGACAGGUCUAUUUGUCUCCCUGUUACACUGUGAGCUCCGUGAGGGCAGAAACAAUGUUAGUAUUUUCACUGCUGUGUCCCCAGCGCCUGGUCCGGGGCCCGGCACACAGCAGGCAUAUAAUAAGCAUGUGUUGAAUCAAUAAAGGCAUCAAAGAAUAAACCAAUACAUCAAUCAAUAAA
rnacentral:lncRNA from 1 species